GCUUGAAUCCUUCAUUUUCGACCGUGUUUAUUGGUAGCAUGUCUUUAGCAAGACGGUAGGCUAUGGCAUUCGUUAUGUCGCUAUGUCUCUUAGCUAUUUUGUCAUAUGGUAAGACGCUGGAGAAAGCCGACUCAAUUGACUGUUGUUGCUUCGCAGGGAUUCUCCUGGUUGUUUUCGAUAACGAAUUAGCGCUUUCAGUCUACGGAACUUCUCUGGCCCUUCCUUUCGACAAUCUCUCCGGCAUUGGAACCGUCAUCUGUGUUCUCUUCGGUAACCUGGUCACCUAAGCUCUCGGUUGAUUUUUCUCUAGCGGGCAAACUCAUUUUCUCCAUUAACUGGCCGGCACGGCGGCUGGCUGCUUCCCAAACAAAUACACUUGUGCUGUACGUAACAAGUCACGUGACGUGACGCUGCGGCUGUGAUUGGUUCAGCUAUGCGCUACUUAAUUUGGAUUGGCUGUUCUUUUUUUUUUUAAGACAGGAAGAGAGAGAGAUGAGGUCUAUCGCAAUAGUUUCAUUUUUCUAUCGAGAAAAAGUUAUUUCGCAAUACAUAUCGUUAUCGUUCUAUCGCCCAGCUCUAUCUAUUACUGGACAUUUUAAGAAUAUUACCUGGCUUAACUGUCUGGCUAAUCCACUUUAUCUUCCCUUCUCUUACAUAAAUGUAUUUUAGUGAUUUUCUUUGCAGAUGACAAAACUUUAUAUAAAAAUAAAUGCAAUUUAUUCUCCUGACAUUGUUUUGGUUAUGUUAACUAAUUAACUGAGUAAUCUCCUCCUACAAAAUUGGAUACAAUGUAGUUUUAACCAUGUAGUUUUAACUAUUUAUACAGAAAAAGUAAUGUUACCUGUAUCAAGCUUUGAUCGUGCCCUUUUCCUGUUAUUCAAUAAAUCAAUAGACACGUUGAUUGAUAUAAGGGCUCUUAUUAUUUCAGAUUGAGGUAUUGAGGUAAAACAUCAUCCCAGAACUCCUCUGACUCACCUGCCGCCUGACCUUUGACUCCUAACCUUAGUUUGCUUCUAGUUGCUGAUUUAGCACUUAUUCUUUUCACUUCAGCAGACCUUUUCUUUUUGACAGCCUUCUCCUCUUCUUCUUCUUCUUCUUCAUCUUCCUUCUCUUCCUCUUCUUCUUCUUCCUGUUCUUCUUCUUCCUCACUCUGGUCCUCCUCAUCUUCCGCUUCAGCCUCCUUUUCCUCACUUUCUUCCUCCUCUUCUCCUUCUUCUUCUUCCUCCUCCUCAUCCUCUGUCUCUUCCUCCUUUUCCUCACUUUCUUCCUCUUCUUUUUCUUCUGCCUCCUCUUCAUCCUCUGUCUCUUCCUCCUUUUCCUCACUUUGUUCAUCCUCUUCUUUUUCUUCUUCCUCCUCCUCAUCCUCUGUCUCUUCCUCCUUUUCCCCACUUUGUUCCUCCUCCUCUUCUUCCUCAAUUUCACUGUUUUCCUCUUCACUACUCUCUUCUACUUCUUCAGCACUACCCUUUUCUUCCUCCUCUUUUUCAUCUUCUCCUUCUUCGGUCUCCCUCUCUUCCUCACUUUCUUCUCUCUCUGAAGACCUCACAGACUCACUUUCAACCUCCUCUUCUUCACCCUCACUCUCCAAACUCCCUUCUUCUUCCUCGUCCCCUUCUUCCAAGUCACUUUCAGUAUCUCCACGUUUGCUCUCUGUUUCGUGACUUGACCCUUCCUCACUUUCCUCUUCCUCCGCCUCCUCUUCUUCUACAACCCCUCCGUUUCUGUCUUUCUCUUCAGUCUCUGCUUUGCUUUCACUUUCUGUUACUCCACUCUUUUCCUCCUCCUCUUCUUCAUCUUCUACCACAACAUUGCUCUCAUCCUCCUCCUCAUCUACAUCGCUGUCUGACUUCUCUCCAGAUUGAAGAGUGUCACUCUCUUUUUCAUCCUCAGCGUUCUCUGCCACUUUCUUAAUAAUGUGACUAACAUCCUCCUCUUCCUCGCUUACUUCUGCAUCUGUCUGCCCUUCUUCCUCUUCAACCGCUUCCUCAUUAUCCUCCUCUUCCUCUUUGAUUGCGGCAGAGUCCAUCUGUUCACUUUGAUCUGAGAUUGUCCUCAUUUCAGGACUUUCAGGUGCGGGUAUGAUGUUGAUGCUGACAGCAGAUUUGUGGCUAAAAUUGGCAGCGUAAGAUUCAGAUUCCUCACUCAGUGAUUUAGUCACACUCUCUUUAAGUACAGCACAGCUGUUCUCAGAAAGGGAUGUGGAGCUUAAUCGUCUUCCAGCUUGGAUCAAAGCUGCUCCUGCGGCGAGUGAAGCAGCUCCAACAACCAGGCUGAGAUCUGUUGACUUUUUCUGAACCUCUGACCCUCUUUUGAUUUGAGCGUCUUUCAUGUUUUUUUCAUUCUUGUUUUUCUUAGACAAAUCUGUUUUCUUCUCUUUAGAUUUGGGAGUUUUUUUCACCUCAGAAACCUGCUGAGAGCCCACUAUGCUCUCUUCAUCCAAAGUGUCACUCAGGUGAAAGCUUGCUGAGUCUGUAUGACUGAGUUUACCUGGCGAACUGAUUCCUGUGGGUGUGCCUUUAACCCUCACAGGCUUAGACUCCACUUUCUCAACUUUAGCAGAUUUAGAGUUGAAAUCUAAUCUUUUCUUCAUAAUUUCUGGACUUUGUUUUGAGUCUGCUGCCAGCUUCCUGCGAACCCCUAUCACCUGGCUUUUACUGUGAACUUGCAUUUGUUGUUCUUUGGAUGCUGCCUUAUUUAUGUCCCUGAUGCUUGUAGGUUUGUUUGUACUGGGCUUCUCCUGCAACUCCUCUACAGCCAAGAUCAGAUUCGCCUUGUUCUGGUUGCUUUUCUGAUGUCUCUGGGGCCUCUGCGGGCCCUGAGUACGAGUGCUACGACUCCUCAGGAGCUCAGUGGGUAACGCCCGGAGAGAAGAGGCAGCCUCACUCUUACAAGACAGCGAAGUGGAAGAGAAACUGCUCUGCUCUGAGAGCUUUCUCUGCUUUCUUUGACCCUGUUCUUUUAUAGCCUUACCAUUCUUACCCUUCCUCUAUCCUCGGUGCAAGAAAGCAAGAAAAGGAUGGAAAAAAAGAGGCAUGCAUUAGAGAGGAAGAGACAUGCAGAUACAUCAAAGGACAUGGCACACAAAGCAAGAGUUUGAGUUACCUUUUGAACUGGAGACAGCGUGAGUGUUUUAUCACUGGGGUCUAUCUUCAUCACAUGAGUCUGUCAGGAAGGAGCAGCGAUCAAAUCAGCAGCAAAAUGUUAUAUUUGUCUUUUUUUCUGAGCAACAUUUAAGAUGAUCUCAUUGAUCUCU
ensembl:lncRNA